CCGCUUAUUGCUCCGUAGUGCGUUUUUCCUGAUCGCCUCCGGAGAAGCUGCAGGUCGAGCUGCGCUUACGUGUAAUUCUUAUCAUUGAGGCAUUACACGCUUAACUGUGAGUGCGGCUCAGCUACCGCUCUCGAGGCUGGAUUAGCGAGAACAAAACUGUGCAAUACAUAAUUUUAGAUGUUUUCCUAUUGCGCAACGCUCCGGUGCUCUGUGGCAGGACAGGAGGGAUCGGACCUUGGCAGCCCUUCCAGCGGCGGCUCCGUUCCGUGCCGUGCCGCUUCCCUGGCCCCGAGGGGCAGCUCCUAGCCGAGUGCGCUUGCAGACGGUCUUGUUCGAAGGCUUUUCUGUGUCUUGCUCUGAGCAGUUUUCGGUUGCAUGGAGCAGCCAAGAAGAUGGGAGGAGACCUGUCCUUGCCCCCUCUGGGGAAGGGCUAUGACUUCCUUUGGGUUUGCUGCACAGCCAUUUCAAAGAGGACAAAGAAAUCAUUCCCACUGACAAUUCUCACAGGUCACAGAGGCUUCCGAAAUUUGUGUGCCAUGGAUCUUACCCCGUCUCACUGCAAAAUUAAUUAUUUAUGGAUGGCACAAUAGUGUUAGCUUUCAUUGAAGAUGUCCAAAAAGCCAAUCAAUACCUAAGCAGUGAGGAAGUUUAUAAGGGCUGGUGAGUCACCAUGGGCAGCACUGACGGAGUGUUUAUCAGUUUGUCUGUCUCUGGUUCUGCCUUUAUCAUUAAAUGGGCAAAAAUAAAGACAUGACAUUUUAAAUUGUACACACAGGUAGCUACAGUUUUUCUCCUACUUUAUCUGUGCAAGUAUCUCUUCAGCUACUCUUUCUGAAGCUUAUAAAUUAGUUUGGAACUGCAACCUACUUUACCCAAUUUUAAUAAAGACACUUAGGAAUACCGUUUGGCAUGUCAUCUUAAUGCAGGAGUUAUCAUUAGCAGAGUGAACCAAAAUAGUCAAUUUAAGUAGAAACUAGAUAUGUCAAGGUUUCACAUCUACUUGCAGCAUUUUGCUUGUUUCAUUAAGUCCAUCAAGGAUUUAAAUCAGGAUCUUAUCUAAUAAGGCACCUUGCAGAAGAAACAUGAUAGCAAAGGUCAGAGCAUUUCAAGUAGGAACAGGACCACUGUGGAAAGGUUCAUGAACUUUCAGUUAAGUAACUGGCUUAACCUCCCAGCAUUCCUGGUCCAGAUACAGUCAUUAAAGCAAGAAGCUCCUUCAACUGACAGUAUUUCUAUGCCCUUUUCAGCAUUUGAAUGGGAAGAAAGAAAUAAUUUAGAGGUAUUUAAAAAACCGGC
rnacentral:lncRNA from 1 species